ACGGAGGGUCCAAGCGUUAUCCGGAAUCAUUGGGUUUAAAGGGUCCGUAGGCGGGUUAUUAAGUCAGGGGUGAAAGUUUGCAGCUCAACUGUAAAAUUGCCUUUGAUACUGAUAGUCUUGAAUUGUAGUGAAGUGGUUAGAAUAUGUGGUGUAGCGGUGAAAUGCAUAGAUAUCACAUAGAAUACCGAUUGCGAAGGCAGAUCACUAACUAUAUAUUGACGCUGAGGGACGAAAGCGUGGGGAGCGAACGGG
rnacentral:rRNA from 1 species